rnacentral:rRNA from 1 species
ACGGAAGGCAGCAGUGGGGAAUAUUGGACAAUGGGCGCAAGCCUGAUGCAGCGAUGCCGCGUGAGGGAAGAAGGUUUUCGGAUUGUAAACCUCUGUCAACAGGGACGAAAAUGACUGUACCUGUGAAGGAAGCUCCGGCUAACUACGUGCCAGCAGCCGCGGUAAUACGUAGGGAGCAAGCGUUAUCCGGAAUUACUGGGUGUAAAGGGAGCGCAGGCGGGACAGCAAGUCAGAUGUGAAAACUAUGGGCUCAACCCAUAACGUGCAUUUGAAACUGCAGUUCUUGAGUGAAGUAGAGGUAAGCGGAAUUCCUAGUGUAGCGGUGAAAUGCGUAGAUAUUAGGAGGAACAUCGGUGGCGAAGGCGGCUUACUGGGCUUUUACUGACGCUGAGGCUCGAAAGCGUGGGGAGCAAACAGGAUUAGAUACCCUGGUA